AAAUCACAGAAUCACAGCAUGGUUUGGGUUGCAAGGGACCUUAGAGAUCACUUAGUUCCAACCCCCUGCCAUGGGCAGGGACACCUUCCACCAGACCAGGCUGCUCAAAGCCCCGUCCAACCUGGCCUUGAACACUGCCAGGGAGGGGGCAGCCACAGC